UCGGUUUGCACAUCAGGUAAGAUGAUGUGUUUUUAAUUAGUGUAGUCUAAAUUGUGUUGUGCAGUUCCUCUUUUGUGAGAAAUGUUAGGCCAUAUAUUUCACUUUUGUCUUGUCAAAAUGGUCUAAUAUAUAUGAUCGACAUUAAAACCGAUCAUAUUCUGUUGUUUCUUAUGUUUGCAGGUUGAGAGAUUUGCUUGCCUCUAUACUAGUCAAGUUUCCAAUUUAAGGCUGUAUUCCCCUGACAAAUGUUACAGACCAAGUGAAGACUCCCUGCCACAUGAAUUUGGUAUUCUUUUUUAGGGAGACCAGUUUGGUUGCUGGCUUACUUUUUGAGGGAGCUUAAUCUAGAUGUUUUAGCUUAAAUUUGCUCUGCUCUGUAGUUAAAUCACACAUACAAAUCUGUAUUGAUGAUAUGAUUGCUUGUAAUUGUACUGUAUACAAAUAUUAAACAUUUUAACAUGCCCUCAUACGAUGCCUGAGUAGGUGAUUAUUGCAUCUUACGUCCUUUUUGG
rnacentral:misc_RNA from 1 species